rnacentral:rRNA from 1 species
GACGAACGCUGGCGGCGUGCUUAACACAUGCAAGUCGAACGGAAAGGCCCUGCUUUUGUGGGGUGCUCGAGUGGCGAACGGGUGAGUAACACGUGAGUAACCUGCCCUUGACUUUGGGAUAACUUCAGGAAACUGGGGCUAAUACCGGAUAGGAGCUCCUGCUGCAUGGUGGGGGUUGGAAAGUUUCGGCGGUGGGGGAUGGACUCGCGGCUUAUCAGCUUGUUGGUGGGGUAGUGGCUUACCAAGGCUUUGGCGGGUAGCCGGCCUGAGAGGGUGACCGGCCACAUUGGGACUGAGAUACGGCCCAGACUCCUACGGGAGGCAGCAGUGGGGAGUAUUGCACAAUGGGCGGAAGCCUGAUGCAGCAGCGCCGCGUGCGGGAUGACGGCCUUCGGGUUGUAAACCGCUUUCGCCUGUGACGAAGCGUGAGUGACGGUAAUGGGUAAAGAAGCACCGGCUAACUACGUG